CUUGGCGACCAUAGCGCUUUGGACCCACCUGACUCCAUGCCGAACUCAGUAGUGAAACGAAGMAGCGCCGAUGGUAGUGUGGGGUCUCCCCAUGUGAGAGUAGGACAUCGCCAGAU
rnacentral:rRNA from 1 species